rnacentral:rRNA from 1 species
AGCAGCCGCGGUAAUUCCAGCUCCAAUAGCGUAUAUUAAAGUUGUUGCAGUUAAAAAAGCUCGUAGUUGAAUUUCGGGAUUAGUACGCUGGUCAUGCCUUUGGUAUGUACUGGUGUUACUGAUUCCUACCUUCUGACGAACCGUCAUGUCAUUAAUUUGGUGUGGCGGGGAAUCAGGACUGUUACUUUGAAAAAAAUUAGAGUGUUUAAAGCAGGCUCGCGCUUGAAUACAUUAGCAUGGAAUAAUGAAAUAGGACGUUCGAUCCUAUUUUGUUGGUUUCUAGGAUUGACGUAAUGAUUAAUAGGGAUAGUUGGGGGCAUUAGUAUUCAAUUGUCAGAGGUGAAAUUCUUGGAUUUAUUGAAGACUAACUACUGCGAAAGCAUUUGCCAAGGAUGUUUUCAUUAAUCAAGAACGAAAGUUAGGGGAUCGAAGACGAUCAGAUACCGUCGUAGUCUUAACCAUAAACUAUGCCGACUAGGGAUCGGAUGAUGUUAUUUUAAUGA